UGUUCGACAACUGUUCUCCCUAAGUUGGGCCCUCAAACCAUCAUUCACUCAUUCUUUCUCUCUCUUUCUCUCACCGCUCUCUCCUUCUCACUAUCUAUCAUAUACUCUUCAAUUCGCAAUCCUAAACUCAAUGGCGAUGGGCGACAACAAGGACUUGAGGGUUUAAAUAGGAAAUCAGAGGUCAUCUUUCUGGAACUUUGGAAAUAUGCAUAUUUUGAUCUUACCCCAAUAAGCUUUCCUGCAUUCUCAAGCUUCUUUCCAACCUUUAAAGCAGCUGCAGCGGCAACUCCUGAAGAAAUUCUCACCUGUUUUCCAAUUGAAGUUAGCAGACGGGGAAGAGGCAGAGUAUAAAACCAACAUAUACAAGCUCUUCAUUGGUGUUAGAGUUUAGGUGUCACAAGGUUUGAAGAAAAUUAACUCCUAUCGUGCAAGCUAAAUAACAUAAGUUCUUAUGCCCUUCACAAUAGGGUGUGGGAAGGAUCAUUCACGAACAUAACAUUUUAUUUAAUAUAUGGUGAGGGUGCUAAACGCCAUUAUCUUGUGCAUGAUUGUAUGUGCAUAGGAUAAUGGACACCAGAACGCAUUAAGAAAAUCACACAUAAAGUUGAGAAGAUGAACAUAAAGGACUAACUAGCAAACCUUCCUGGAAUGAUAAUUGCUUUGCAUUUUCAACUACUUCAUCACUUGAUAUAUGCCAAAUUCACAAAAGGGAAGAUUAAUUAUAAUACAGACAAAGAAAAUGGUGGCAUUAACUAUUUAUCCAGGUCAUGUGGUUCCCAUUAUCACAUGCAUAAUAAUAGUCCAAUUGAACCCAGUUUUAGAUGUGCAAAUACUGGUCCUAAAUUAAGAGAAUCAAUCACAAGAAUUUAGAAACAAGAAGCCAGUGUAUCAAGAAAUGUUCAUUAUUGGCCAGUACAGCAAGCAAAUGCUUGAAAGAGGUAAAGAAAAAUGUCAACAUCAAUUUUGCAUAAUUCAUUCCUGUCUAUGUCUAUGAAAAAUAUUAUGUAUUCUCUGAAUCUUUGAUAUCACCACAUUCACAUGUGUGUGUAAGACAAAUGUGCAUUUUUUAUGAAAUAUUAUUAUUUAAAUGGGUCUCA